CGGAUUGGAGUCUGNAACCCGACUCCAUGAAGCUGGAUUCGCUAGUAAUCGCGCAUCAGCCACGGCGCGGUGAAUACGUUCCCGGGCCUUGUACACACCGCCCGUCAAGCCAUGGAAGCCGGGGGUGCCUGAAGUGCGCUGCCGCAAGGAGCGCCCUAGGGUAAAACCGGUGACUGGGGCUAAGUCGUAACAAGGUAAC
rnacentral:rRNA from 1 species